GCGCCAGAGCGGGAUCGGCCGUUAAGGUUGGCGUCGGGAUCCGUGGGCCAGCUCCUUGCCACCUGGCGCCCACCCGCCACGCGGGCGUUCAAGAUGACAAGGAAGCCACGUCGGUACUUGGGCAGAAAACUUUCACCUGCACUACGCCCACUCCCGCGCUUUGUCACACUCGGAACCUGAGGGAAAGGGUCAAAUGGGUGGUGCAGAGUCCACAAGAAAAUGACUUUGGAAACAGCUAAUAGGCAGGAAAGGCAGAUCCGAGACCGUGGGGUGACCCGAUCCAAGGCGGAAAAGGUCCGGCCGCCUACUGUGCAGGUACCUCAGGUGGACAUCGUACCUGGGCGGCUCACUGAGGCUGAGUGGAUGGCGUUUACGGCUCUCGAGGAGGGCGAGGACGUGGUUGGGGAUAUCUUGGCCGAUCUGCUCGCGAGAGUCAUGGACUCUGCUUUCAAAGUCUACCUGACCCAGCAGUGCAUUCCGUUCACCAUCAGUCAGGCGCGGGAGGCCAUGCUGCACAUCACCGAGUGGCGCUUCCUGGCCCGGGAUGAGGGAGAAUCUGCAGUGGCCGAGGACCCCACGUGGGGCGAGGAUGAGGAGCCCUCGGCAUGCACGACGGACGCCUGGGCUCAGGGAUCCGUGCCUGUGCUGCACGCUCCUGCUUCGGUGGGGCUGGAGGAGACCUUCCAAGGCGAAGACCAAGGGAGCGUGGACCAGAUCCCUAUAGGAAGAUCGUGGAUGGAUAGAGGAUCACAGGAGCAGAUGGAAUCUUGGGAGGGUUCUCCCGAGCUGAGAGUCAUCCCAGGUCCAGGCCCGCCACCCACCCCGGAGCUGUUUCAGGAGGCAGGGCCCAGGGGUCCUUUAGAGGAACUGGAUGGCCAGGCAAUAGGCCACCUGUCCUCGGCUGGGUCCUUGAACGGGAACCUCCAGCCCUCAGUGGAGACGGCGCACACCGGCAGUCCCCAUUCUUCUCUGGAGCUGUCCUUGGUAGCCAGCCCCGAGGCCUCAGCCGAGAGGGCACAGGCCCUCAGCUCUCAGUUCUCGCUCGAGGACCUCUACUAUUGCACGCCCCAGCUGCACGCUGCUGGGGACCGGCCGGAGCUCAAGAAGGAGGAGAUGCCCCGCAUCGCCUCGCCAGUGUCAGUGGCCAGCUCCUCUGCGGGUGGCUCCACCAUGCUCAGGCUCUCCGCGUCGUUCCAGCCUCAGCAGCAGCCGGGGCGCCCAGAGGCAGGGCUGAGCGCACCUCAGUACAUGGUGGGCCGCAGGAUGGUGGGGGCGCGCCUGGAUCCCGCGCGGCUGCCGCGCCUCUGGGUGAGCCCGCUGGCCAAGGUCCUGCUUCCAGACUCCGAGGCGCGCCCCGUGGAAGCCUAUCGCGGACGCCCGCGCGGCGAGAAGACCGAGGCCCCAGCCGGAGCCGGAACCCCCCGCACCGGCGUCCGCGUCUCCUCUGCAGUUUUCUUACCUCUCCCGCCUGGCGUUCCGUCCCGUGACUUCGGCCCUGACCCCCGCCCCGGCCUCCAAAUCCCCAGUUUAAGCUUAGGUCUACCGUCGCCAGGCUCCGGGUCAAAGCUGCCCUUUCCUAGUCCCGGCCUCCGCUUUCUCGCCACGCACCCAGUGCUCCCCGACGUGGCCCGCAACCCCAGCCCCAAACUGUGGCCGGGUACCAAGUGGCCCAGUGGCUGGGAUGGAGAGGUGGAGUUACUGGAAGACCUGUGGGCCGGCCGCGCCCGUGUAUCUCCACAGGGCGUACCUCCACAAGGCCUGGAUCCUCACAAGUGGCCUCAUCCUGAGCCCCAAGUCCUCGAGGCCACGUCCCAGGUGAUGUGGAAGCCCAUGUUGCUGCCAGAAGCAAUGAAACUGGCUCCUGGUGUGAGCAUGUGGAACCCAACCACCCAGGUGCUGCUCAGCUCUGCCAUACCCCAGCAGGAGGACAAAGGCCAAGCCUCUCCUCCCAUUGAGCAGCAGCCCAUCCAGACAGGUGCCCCGAAGCCUCAGGUGAUGGUGGCGCAGCUAAUGAAGAACUCAACCCCCAAAGUGAGGUCACUCCCUUCCAAGUACCUGCCUCAUUCUGGGUCCUGAACCCCUGGCAGCAGGAAUCCUACCUUCCUUCUGUCUGCUUGCCAGAAAUAAACAUCUGAGUUGCUUUAAGAAUUGGCCCAAUGUCUCUGUCCGUUUCACCCAAAGCUGUGUACUCUCAGUGAACUGGGGAGGAGCAGUUGUCCUACAGGCCUGGAAGAACAUAGAACACUGGCUCCAGGAAAUAACCCCAUUACCACCCUUAGGAGACCCUGCUUUAGGACGGAGGCUUCGCCCCAGCAGUGGCAUUCUGGAGAACCAUGCACCUCCCCGCAAAGGACAGACAAGGGCUGCAGUGGAGUCUGCCUCAGCUGGAGAGGUGGAGGAAGCGCAUGGCCCUGCUUAAGCACAGAGUGACUCAAGACAUGAGGAGUUUGAUCUCUUGCUUCUCCAGUCCCUGGAGCUCUGUCAAUCACCCUUAGAGUGCAAAUAGAUGAAUUAGAGGCUGUGCAGGGCUCAGGGAAGCCCUGAUCUUUUGAUAUUUGAUUUGGACCUUUGACCGGGGUGAGGCAAUCAAGUGGCUUGGGCACGCAAUUUAAGAGGGAACUCACUUUCAGGUUCAAACAGGGUGCUUGAACAGAUCCAAGAGUAUUUACCUCCUUAAAUUUCAUGUCUUAAGCUCCACACCAGCCUCACUGCUAAUCCCCACACAGCUUUGCUUAGCCCUUCUCCACCCUCACCCUACUGCAGCACUUCCAGUGGCAGCCAGCAGUCUCUGCUAUGUUGCUGUGGUCUCUACUCAGCACCCUGGUCUGGGGUCCUGGCUCUGUCCUUAUUCUAGUCCUCCUGCUUAGACUAUGUGUGAGGCUCUGGCAUAAGUCUCACCUAUGGGACCUCCAGCACUGCUCCACAGAUCUGACUGGGAAGACAGCAGUGGUGACUGGGGCCAACAGUGGUGAGUGCUCCUUCCACCUUGUCACCUCACUAGGGGCCUCAGCCUUCAAAAGCCUCAAAGGGGAGGGCAGGGAAGAGGACUAGCACCCACUGUCAGCACCCUUGUCCCUCCCCUUGCUCCAUUGCCCUCCAGUCACUGCCCAGACUAGCCUGCUCUGAAGCUGCCCUCCUACAGGCAUUGGGAAGGUUGUGGCCCAGGAGCUGGCCCGCCGAGGGGCCCAUGUGAUCCUUGCCUGCCGUAGCUUCAAACGUGGAAAGCAAGCCCUGGCCGAGAUCCAAGCAGCCUUACGGUGCAACCACCUCCUUCUUGGUGAGGUGGACCUGAGCUCUAUGGCGUCCAUCCGGGGCUUUGCCCGUUGGCUUCUGCAGGAGUACCCUGAGAUACAUCUGCUUGUUAACAAUGCUGCAGUCUGUGGAUUCCCCACGACACUUACCCCAGAGGGCCUUGAUCUCACCUUUGCCACCAACUAUAUUGGGCCCUUUUUGCUCACAAAUCUACUCAAAGGGGCCCUCCAACGGGCAGGGUCAGCCCGGGUGGUGAAUGUGUCUUCCUUUCAGCAAACACGUGGGUACAUUGAUGAGGGGCAUCUGACAGGGGCUGGUGGACCUCUGACCUUCAACCAGAACUAUAACUGCAGCAAACUGCUUUUGACCUCAUUCACUGGGGAGCUUGCCCGGAGACUUCAAGGAACAGGUGUGACUGUGAACUCCGUGGACCCGGGUGUUGUAUACACGGAGAUCAUGAAGCAUUUCUCUUGGCCUUACCGCUUCCUUUUCUGGCUUGUCAGCUUCUUCAUUAAGGAUCCCAAACAAGGUGCAGUCCCAGUCCUCUACUUGAGCUUGGCAAAGGAGCUGGAUGGCAUUUCUGGAAAAUACUUUAGCAGUUCUUGUGUGAUAAGUCCUCCCUCUAAAGCUGCUCAGGAUCCUCAGGUGGCCCAAAGCCUCUGGAAUGCCUCAGUCCAACUAACAAACCUAGACAAGAUGGACUGAUCCUCUGUGACCCUUGCCCUAACUUGCCACCUCCCGUCCGGCGCACCCCCCCCCUCCCCCCCCACCAGCCGACUUCUAGCCCUUAAUCUGGUUAUGCCUUUUGUUUGCUGGCUCCAAGGGUCAAUCACCUAGUCCAGUAUAAUGGCCUCUUCCUUCUCCUGUUGACUCAGUGACAUGAGAGCUCAGACUGGUCAGAGGACAGUUUCAGCUUCUACUUUAUUGCCAGUUCUCCGAUGGAGGUAUUCAUCCCGUGGGCACUAGGAAUUCCAAACCUGCUGAGUCUCACUUUAUGGUGACCGGGAGUAAAACUCCUUCCAGUGGGUAUUAGGGGUACCGAUAAGACAGGAAACUUCUGCCUGUUCUCUUGGUUCCCAGAUGUGUGCUUCCUGGCUUUGAGGGAGAAAGUACCACAUAGUGUCCUCGGCAUUAAGGCAUAAACCAUGUCUUGCAGGACAACACGCCAACUUCACAGGGUGUUGUCUCCCAGCUGGCACUGUAACUGAGCCUGCAGAUAAUCAUUCCACCUUUCCAUCAACCAGCUGCUCCUGUGAUGAGUCAUGCAAUAAGACCAGUGAAUUCUGGGAGUGACAGCCCAUUGCUUCUUUUCUGGGGUCUGUUCAUCUACGUAAAUUUUGGAAUCAGCUCUUCAGAUUUCACACACACACACAAAUCCUGUUGGGAGUGUACUAUAUCCACUGGGAGGAUUGACAUUUUUAUGAUAUUGAGUUUUCCUGACCAUGAACAAGAUAUACUCAUAUCUAAUUAAAUCUGAAUAUCCUUACAAAAUUUUAAAGAAUUUUAUCCAUAAAGAUCUUUCACAAGUUUUACUAUACUUAAUUUCAGCUACCUUCUUUUUUUUGCCGUUGUAACUGGUAUUUUAAAAUUUGUAUAUUGAUCAUAUAUCAAACAACUUUAUUAAGUUAUCUAACUCUAAUAAGUUAUCUGUAGAUCCUUUUGGUUUCUCUACAUAGAAAAUCACACCAUCUAGGAAUAAUAAGAGUUUUAUGUCAUCCCUUUCAAUUAUUAUAACUUUUGUUUCUUUUUCUAGAAAACCUUAAUAGAUUUUCAAAUAUUAAACCAACUUUGUGUUUCUGGAAUAAACCCAACUUGGUCAUAAUGUUAUUUUUGUAUACAUUGCUAAAUUAGCAUACUCAUGUUUUUGUUUAGAACUUUUUAAGUGUGUUCAUAAUGAGAUAGGCAUAUACUUUUCCUUACUUCUACUGCCAUUGUCUGGUCUUGCUGUCACGGAUAUAGUCAUUUGAUAAGAUGAGUUGGGGAUUUGUCUUAGUCUGGAGACAUUACCCAAGAAGCAGAUACCAAAUUAGGAUUAAAUGUACAAGAAAUUUGUUAGGAGAAAUGGCUGUGAGAGAAAAUGGGGAAGAAGCUGGGAGAUCCACCAGAGUGUGAUAUGUCUGACCCACAGUGAAGGAGGGAGGGAAGGAAAGAGGAUUGGUUGGGAGCAUCUUAGAGUGAAGUGGGAUGUUUUUUCCAUUUUUAAACUUCCUAUCUUGUUUUGAAAGUACACAAUCUAUUUCUUUCUUUAGUGGUUAGUCUAAAAAUUCUAACCUGCAUAUUUAACUUAACAGUAUCUCUAAUCAAUACCUUUAUUCUUCUUUAAAAUAAUACAUAUAUCUUAGAAUUCUUUAACAUUAAUCAUUCCUUUUGAACUUAUAUGCUUUUGUAACUCAGUAUUUUAAUUAUUUCAUUAAUCUCACAAAUCAGAUAUAUUGUUAUAUUUUAAGUAGUCGAUACUUGUGUAGAUUUACCCAUAUGUUUAAUAUUCUCUUUGCUUGUUCUAUUUUCUUAUGUCUCAGAUUUUCCAUCUGGGAUUAUUUUCCUUCUACCUGAAGUGCAUCCUUUAGAAGUUCCUUUAAUAAGGAUUUGUGGUAGACAGAAUUCUAAGAUGGCCCCAAGAUUCCUACCCUCUUGUGUACAUAUUUUGUAUAAUCUCCUCCCCUUGAGUGUGAGCAGAAAUAAUGAAUAUGAUGGAAUUUCAGUCCUGUGAUAUGUCAUGUACCUGGCAAAGGGAUUUUCCUGAUUUAAUUAAGGCCUACAAUCAGUUGAAUUUGAGUUAAUCAAAGGGGAGAUUAUUUUGAGUGGACCUGACCUAACCAGGCUAGCCUUUUUAAACAGUUCAAGCCUUCCCAGAAGUCAGAGAGCUUCUCCUGUUUACCAUGAAGAUGCAAACUGCUACAAUGUGGAGAGCGCCACAUGGCCUCUAGGCCUCUAUGUCCCAAGGAACUGAAUUCUGCCAAUAACCAGUGACCUUGGAAGAAGGACCUGGAGCCCAGAUGAGAUUGCAGUUCUGGGUGACUCCUUGAUUUCAGCCUGGUAAGACCCUGAGCAGAGGACCCAGCUAAUGUGUACACAGACUCCUGACUCAGAAACUGUGAGAUAAUAAAUGUAUUCCUUUUGUGCCACUGA